rnacentral:rRNA from 1 species
GCUCAGAUUGAACGCUGGCGGCAGGCUUAACACAUGCAAGUCGAACGGUAGCAGGAGAAAGCUUGCUUUCUUGCUGACGAGUGGCGGACGGGUGAGUAAUGCUUGGGAAUCUGGCUUAUGGAGGGGGAUAACGACGGGAAACUGUCGCUAAUACCGCGUAGUAUCGGAAGAUGAAAGUGCGGGACCGUAAGGCCGCAUGCCAUGAGAUGAGCCCAAGUGGGAUUAGGUAGUUGGUGGGGUAAAGGCCUACCAAGCCUGCGAUCUCUAGCUGGUCUGAGAGGAUGGCCAGCCACACUGGAACUGAGACACGGUCCAGACUCCUACGGGAGGCAGCAGUA